AGAAGCAGAAGAAGCAGAAGAAGAAGCAGAAGAAGAAGAAGCAGAAGAAGAAGAAGAAGAAACAAAGGGGAGGAUGCAACUUGGAGAGGCCCAGCCCCUAGGAGAAAGCCUAACUGCAGUAAAGGAGUCCUGGAGACAGGACAAGAAUGAAGUCAAUGAAGCAUAGCAGGAGUGGAGAUAAAGACGCGCAUGAAAUUUGGUGCUGUGACUCGGAUUGGGGG
rnacentral:lncRNA from 1 species